rnacentral:tRNA from 1 species
AGAAACAUAGUUCAGAGGUAGAACGGUCACAUGUGGCAUGGAGUGGGUUCAAUUCCCACUGUUUCUA